UGCAGUUGUUCAAGAGAUGUCCAGUUUGCAGCCUAACAUGCAGCACAGAGAAGACCAGCAAGGGGACGCUUAUCAGCAUUAUGCAGACAUGCCCUCGCUAUGAGCAGUCCUGUGAAUGCAACCAUCAGCCACAUUUUGGCAAGUAUCUGGCCAGCAAGCUGUCAGCGGCCACAGCUUUCACAGGCUCAUCAUUUGUACAAGUACAGAAGGAGCUGAUCUACACUGCUAUGUCCAUAAAUAGGGCUCUGGUAAAAAAAGGACUCACCACUAGCCUCACACGCCUGUUCACCAACAGUCAUCGAUGGGGAGAACAGAAUUAGGAUCUACGUGAAGGAGUGUGAGCUGGAGAGGCAGUUGUCACCUGGAUGGGUGAAAAAGAAGUGGGAGAACUAUAAGCAAAAAUACACGGAGUUGAAAGCUCCCCCACCAGAGUCAGCACAGAGGGAGGGGAGGCUACAGCCGCAUACUGGAAGUGAUAUGUGGUGAUGGAUUAGGUGCGGCAGGAGCUGCAACUCCAUCACCCCACCUGUCAUCUUCUCCUCUCCAUCCCAGAAGGGUCCAGAUGUGGAGGAGGAAGAAGUAGGUGACUGCCAGAGAGGCACGCUUUAUUGCCAUUUUAGAGGCCAUGAUUAAGAAGUAGUUUUAUGUAUUUUGUAUGUAUUUUAUUUAUAGCUAUUAAUUUUCUACUGUUUUUGGUGAAGUAAUUAAAAAAAAAUCCAAAGU